rnacentral:lncRNA from 1 species
UGGUGCAAAAACCAAGAAAAAUGCUUAUUUGGGUCCCUUUUUGGCCCCUAAUUCCUAAACUGUUGGGACCUAAACUCCCAAAAUCAAUACCAACCUUCCUUUUGUAGUCAUUAACAUUGUGUUCAAAUUUCAUUGAUUUCUAUUUACUUAAACUAAAGUUAUUGUGCGAAAACCAAGAAUAAUGCUUAUUUGGGCCUUUUUUUGGCCCCUAAUUCCUAAACUGUUGAAACCAAAACUCCCAAAAUCAAUCCCAACCGUUCUUUUGUGGUCAUAAACCUUGUGUCAAAAUUUCAUAGAUUUCUAUUAACUUAAACUAAAGUUAUAGUGCGAAAACCAAGAAAAUGCUUAUUUGGGCCCUUUUUGGCCCCUAAUUCCUAAAAUGUUGGGACCAAAACUCCCAAAAUCAAUACCAACCUUCCUUUUGUAGUCAUAAACCUUGUGUUAAAAUUUCAUAGAUUUCCA